rnacentral:rRNA from 1 species
UACGGAGGGUGCAAGCGUUAUCCGGAUUCACUGGGUUUAAAGGGCUCGUAGGUGGCCAACUAAGUCAGACGUGAAAUCCCUCAGCUUAACUGGGGAACUGCGUCUGAUACUGGAUGGCUUGAGUUUGGGAGAGGGAUGCGGAAUUCCAGGUGUAGCGGUGAAAUGCGUAGAUAUCUGGAGGAACACCGGUGGCGAAGGCGGCAUCCUGGACCAAUAUUGACGCUGAGGAGCGAAAGCCAGGGGAGCAAACGGG